GCCAGCGGCGAGCGGCUUUGCGCAUCUAUUGCGUUUUACCUGCGGGGUUCAUGUUGCAGGCACAUGGUCUUAUUGGGAACUGUUGCAUCGUUGCUUGCGCUAUCGAUGGAUUGCAGCCAGUUGCGUGCCGGGUGCUGGCGUAUCUAGACGUGUUUCGCGCGACUCGUAUCGUUUUAUCGGACUCUUAUUUUCUAAAUUUGCAUUGUAUUCGGUGAUCAAUUUACUAUUUAAUUGUGAGAUGCAUCUGCCCUUGUACUUGAUACUUGCUGUGCUCUAGCAAUCCAAUGAGCACUACAUUGGGAUUUUGCACCUGAGUCUGACAUCGUAGAAGAACCAUUCUUGCAUCAGAUUGGAUUUUGCACCUGAGUCUGACAUCGUAGAAGAACCAUUCUUGCAUCAGAUUGUAAGUAUUAAAUUUCUUUAUCAUUUCCGUAAAUGAUUUUUGUGAUUAUCUCAAAUUGACCCCCAAAAUUGCAUUUUUAUGUUGGAAGGACUAAUUUUUCCUGUUUUGUAUUACCACACUGACAGUGUCAGUGUUUACAAACAAACUAGUUUUUCUUAUUUCGUGUAAUUCUUGUGCGAUCGCCACGCGGUUGGCUUGCGUAGCCCGUUAGCCUUAUUUUUGUCGUCAGGUGAUGUGCACGCACAUUUUCUUCAUUAUUCUUGAGUUUCCUAAUUUAUCUUCACGUUGUUACGUAAUAAUUUUGAAUGCUUUUUGUAUUGUGCGCGCGUGAUGUGCGGCUUCGUUAAAUCCGGAUUGCACCUUUAUUGCUGCAGAAAUUGUUAACUGUUGAUAUUUUGUAACUGUAAUGUAACUAUUGUUAAAUGUUGUCAAUAAGACACAAUGUAUAAUUAUAA